AUUGAACGCUGGCGGCAGGCCUAACACAUGCAAGUCGAGCGGAUGAAGGGAGCUUGCUCCUGGAUUCAGCGGCGGACGGGUGAGUAAUGCCUAGGAAUCUGCCUGGUAGUGGGGGAUAACGUCCGGAAACGGGCGCUAAUACCGCAUACGUCCUGAGGGAGAAAGUGGGGGAUCUUCGGACUUCAGGUUAUCAGAUGAGCCUAGGUCGGAUUAGCUAGUUGGUGGGGUAAAGGCCUACCAAGGCGACGAUCCGUAACUGGUCUGAGAGGAUGAUCAGUCACACUGGAACUGAGACACAGUCCAGACUCCUACGGGAGGCAGCAGUGGGGAAUAUUGGACGAUGGGCGAAAGCCUGAUCCAGCCAUGCCGCGUGUGUGAAGAAGGUCUUCGGAUUGUAAAGCACUUUAAGUUGGGAGGAAGGGCAGUAAGUUAAUACCUUGCUGUUUUGACGUUACCAACAGAAUAAGCACCGGCUAACUUCGUG
rnacentral:rRNA from 1 species